CANNCGAGCGGAAGGCCCUUCGGGGUACUCGAGCGGCGAACGGGUGAGUAACACGUGAGUAAUCUGCCCCAGGCUCUGGGAUAGCCACCGGAAACGGUGAUUAAUACCGGAUACGACAACCGAUUGCAUGAUCUGGUUGUGGAAAGUUUUUCGGCCUGGGAUGUGCUCGCGGCCUAUCAGCUUGUUGGUGAGGUAAUGGCUCACCAAGGCUUCGACGGGUAGCCGGCCUGAGAGGGUGACCGGCCACACUGGGACUGAGACACGGCCCAGACUCCUACGGGAGGCAGCAGUGGGGAAUAUUGGACAAUGGGCGGAAGCCUGAUCCAGCAACGCCGCGUGAGGGAUGACGGCCUUCGGGUUGUAAACCUCUUUCAGCACAGACGAAGCGAAAGUGACGGUAUGUGCAGAAGAAGGACCGGCCAACUACGUGCCAGCAGCCGCGGUAAUACGUAGGGUCCGAGCGUUGUCCGGAAUUAUUGGGCGUAAAGGGCUCGUAGGCGGUUUGUCACGUCGGGAGUGAAAACCAGGUGCUUAACACCUGGCCUGCUUCCGAUACGGGCAGACUAGAGGUACUCAGGGGAGAAUGGAAUUCCUGGUGUAGCGNNA
rnacentral:rRNA from 1 species